AUUUUGUUAUUGAUGUUUUCAGUUCAAUUAAUUAAAUCCAAGUAAAUGGAACACUCACAAGAUGUCACCAAAAUCACUGUCCCCUUUAAAUCUUUCAGAAAAUGAUGCAAGUGUAUCGAAUUAUAUCGAAUUGUAUCGUAUUGUUGGCUGAAUAUCGUGAUAUAUAUCGUAUCGUGAGCGGAAUAUCGUGUAUCGUAUUGUGAGAUUAGUGUAUCGCUACAG